rnacentral:misc_RNA from 1 species
GAUGAAGAACGCAGCGAAAUGCGAUACGUAGUGUGAAUUGCAGAAUUCCGUGAACCAUCAAAUCUUUGAACGCAUAUUGCGCUCGAGGCUUCGGCCGAGAGCAUGUCUGCCUCAGCGUCGGUAUUACCCCUCGCUUCUCAACCCCUGGUUGAUGCCUGCCUGCCUUUGCAGUUGGCUAGAAGCGGAUCUGGCUUUCCCAAUUGCCUUUGGUAGUUGGGUCAGCUGAAGCACAGAGGCUUGAGCAAGGACCCUUAUUGGGCUUCAACUGGAUAGGUAGAACUGGUCUUAGGACCAACUACACGAAGUUGUUGCUUGUGGCCUUUGUCUGGAGGCCAGCAGGAAACCUUUAUACCUUCGACCUGAGCUCAGGCAAGAUUACCCGCUGAACUUAAGCAUAUCAAUAAGCGGAGGA